ensembl:lncRNA
CGACUGAAGUGACUUAGCACAUAACUGAUUUACAGUGUUGUGUUAUUUUCAGGUAUGCAGCAAAGUGAGUCAGUUAUACAUAUACAUAUAUUCACUCUUUUUUAAGGAAAAAAAAAUUAUUUUCAACCUUGGGCCUCUUUUUACUUCUCGUUUUUUUGUCUCUAGCCUGACAGUCAAAUCAGGGAUUAUAAAAAGCAACAGGGAACCCCAAUUUGUGGACUGGAUUUCUUUUCAAAACCUGGACAGUUGACUGUUUUCUUCCAGGGAUGCUGGGUAGGUAGCAUCAGGGAGGGAAAAGAAAUCCCAGUGAGAACCAGCUUUUGGUGCUGCCUCUGGCACUGACUAGCUGUGUGAUGGACAGGGAAGCCUGGCAUGCUGUAGUCCAUGGGGUCGCAAAGAGUCGGACACGACUGAGCAACUGAAUUGAUCUGAACUGAGCUGUGUGAUUCCAGGAUUGGGGACAGGGCGUAGAGGCCUCCCACACCCUGGAACAAGAUCUGUGUGGGCCACCCAUCAGCAGUUUAGGGACAGCCGAUGACGGAUCCCUGUGCUUUCUCCAGGGAGAAGAUAUACAGCCAAGAGAGACGAAAACCUGCGUCCACACAGAAGUCUCUAUGCAAGUGUUCAUGGCAGCAUUAUUCCUGAUGGCAGAAGACUGGAAACAACCCAACUGUCCACCAAUUGAUAAAUGUAGAAGAAAAUUGAAUCAUCCUUAGAGGAAAUACUCAAUCCUGGGUUGGGAAGAUGCCCUGGAGAAAGAAAUGGCAACCCACUCCAGUAUUCUUGCCUGGAAAAUUCCAUGGACAAGGAAACUGGCGGGCUAUAAUCUAUGGUGUCACAAGGAGCUGGACACAACUGAGCAACGUCACAUGUAUCCUGCUGCAGGGUGACCUUUGUGCCCACCACUCCAUGGCUCCCUACUGCUCGUCUUAGUCAUCAACGUGGAAGAUGAGAUCCAGCUGGUCUCCCUUCAGCCUCUCCCCAUCUUUACUGUCUCCCCAUCACACUGACCUUCUUGUGCUCUUGUCCUGUGCAUAUGUUUCCCUCCCAGUAACUGGAAACUCUCCCCAGAGA